GGGAUGGAUUAUGGGUUAGCUCCCAUGCAGCGGAGACAAUUAGGCCUACACCCAGGCGAGGUCCCAGGAGGAUGACCGCCCUGCCACUAAAGAGUCGGUGGCCCAAACGUGGACGAAAGCUAUUGGGAAGAAUAAGAAGGGACAUAUAUACAGUAUGAACUGGCUCCGUCGCCACGGUUCUAGCAGUGCCCCAGCCAGUCCCUCCUGGACGGCACAUAUGAGUGGUGCGAGCAACUGAGUUAGGAGGUAAGCUCAUUGAAGGAGAUGUUGACCAAGUGGAGCGCCAUGUGGCCCUAGGUUCCACAGUUCAUGGCCAGAUGGCAGAGAGCAUGGCGACCAUGACAAGCUAACCCGCUCCAGGUUUCUAUCUGCAACAGCAGCAGCACCACCCCCAGCAACUCCAUCCAGAACAACGUUGGCAGCUUGAUGAAGAUGAUGAGGACAAGCAAGAACAUAAGGGCGAGGACGACGCCCAAUGGUCACGGGAUGAGUGGGUGAUGGUUUUCGUCCAUUCUUGUGUUCGGAUUGAUGGUUAAUGCAAUUUUUAUGCUUUCAUUUACUUAUAGUGUGUGAUUUAGGAGAUCGUGGAUAAGGAUUAUUACGUUUUUACUCUUCUAAUGUUUGUUUUGUUGUUUAGGAGUGUUUGUGAGAAACAUGUCAGAAGUUUCUUAUGGAGAUGCGAUCUGUUUCUCGUGAUAUAUGAAGACGAAGAGGUUAGAUGGAAUAGUUGUUGGGAAUUUUAUGAAAUUAUUUGAACAGGAUUAUGUUUUGGAA